rnacentral:rRNA from 1 species
CCAUCCCCCGCGAGUGAAGGGGCAACAGCUAAAAUUCGAAAUCUGGCGUUUUGCUCCCGAUUGAAUUUUGCAGGGGAUGUUUUUUGCGCGGUGCCUUCCGAGUUCCNUGGAACGGGACGCCAUAGAGGGUGAGAGCCCCGUCCGGUCGGUAAACUAAAGUUAUUGGGGUCCUUUCGACGAGUCGAGUAGUUUGGGAAUGCUGCUUAAAAUGGGAGGUAAACUCCUUUUAAAGUUAAAUUUUGGCCAAAGACCGUUAGCGCACAAGUGGAGUGAUCGAAAGAUGAAAAGCACUUUGAAAAGAGAGUCAAUUAGCACGUGAAAUUGUUGAAAGGGAAGCGCUUGUGACCAGACUUGGGCCUGGUAGUUCAGCCGUCCUUUUGGGCGGUGCACUUUUACGGUUUCAGGCCACCAUCAGUUUGCUAUCGGGGAGAAAUUAUUGGGGAACGUGGUUCUUCGGAGUGUUAUAGCCCGUUUUUUAUGCCCUUCCGGCGACUGAGGUUAGCCGUUUUGCACGGAUGCUGGCGUAAUGGUCAUUAACGACCCCUUUUGAAACCCGGACCAAGGAGUUAUUCUAAUUUGCCAAUGUUUGGGUGUCAAACCCCUACGCGAAAUGAAAAUGAACGGAGGUGGAAAAUUUGGGGCAUUAUUGACCGAUCCUGAUGUUCUCGGAUGGAUUUGAAUAAAAACAUAUUGGGCUGGACCCCAAAAAAGGGGAACUUUGCUUGGGUAGGGCAAANCCANAGGNA